GUGGCUGGGGGUGAAAGGCCAAUCAAACCGGGAGAUAGCUGGUUCUCCCCGAAAGCUAUUUAGGUAGCGCCUCGUGAAUUCAUCUCCGGGGGUAGAGCACUGUUUCGGCAAGGGGGUCAUCCCGACUUACCAACCCGAUGCAAACUACGAAUACCGGAGAAUGUUAUCACGGGAGACACACGGCGGGUGCUAACGUCCGUCGUGAAGAGGGAAACAACCCAGACCGCCAGCUAAGGUCCCAAAGUCAUGGUUAAGUGGGAAACGAUGUGGGAAGGCCCAGACAGCCAGGAUGUUGGCUUAGAAGCAGCCAUCAUUUAAAGAAAGCGUAAUAGCUCACUGGUCGAGUCGGCCUGCGCGGAAGAUGUAACGGGGCUAAACCAUGCACCGAAGCUGCGGCAGCGACGCUUAUGCGUUGUUGGGUAGGGGAGCGUUCUGUAAGCCUGUGAAGGUGUACUGUGAGGUAUGCUGGAGGUAUCAGAAGUGCGAAUGCUGACAUAAGUAACGAUAAAGCGGGUGAAAAGCCCGCUCGCCGGAAGACCAAGGGUUCCUGUCCAACGUUAAUCGGGGCAGGGUGAGUCGACCCCUAAGGCGAGGCCGAAAGGCGUAGUCGAUGGGAAACAGGUUAAUAUUCCUGUACUUGGUGUUACUGCGAAGGGGGGACGGAGAAGGCUAUGUUGGCCGGGCGACGGUUGUCCCGGUUUAAGCGUGUAGGCUGGUUUUCCAGGCAAAUCCGGAAAAUCAAGGCUGAGGCGUGAUGACGAGGCACUACGGUGCUGAAGCAACAAAUGCCCUGCUUCCAGGAAAAGCCUCUAAGCAUCAGGUAACAUCAAAUCGUACCCCAAACCGACACAGGUGGUCAGGUAGAGAAUACCAAGGCGCUUGAGAGAACUCGGGUGAAGGAACUAGGCAAAAUGGUGCCGUAACUUCGGGAGAAGGCACGCUGAUAUGUAGGUGAAGUCCCUCGCGGAUGGAGCUGAAAUCAGUCGAAGAUACCAGCUGGCUGCAACUGUUUAUUAAAAACACAGCACUGUGCAAACACGAAAGUGGACGUAUACGGUGUGACGCCUGCCCGGUGCCGGAAGGUUAAUUGAUGGGGUUAGCGCAAGCGAAGCUCUUGAUCGAAGCCCCGGUAAACGGCGGCCGUAACUAUAACGGUCCUAAGGUAGCGAAAUUCCUUGUCGGGUAAGUUCCGACCUGCACGAAUGGCGUAAUGAUGGCCAGGCUGUCUCCACCCGAGACUCAGUGAAAUUGAACUCGCUGUGAAGAUGCAGUGUACCCGCGGCAAGACGGAAAGACCCCGUGAACCUUUACUAUAGCUUGACACUGAACAUUGAGCCUUGAUGUGUAGGAUAGGUGGGAGGCUUUGAAGUGUGGACGCCAGUCUGCAUGGAGCCGACCUUGAAAUACCACCCUUUAAUGUUUGAUGUUCUAACGUGGACCCGUAAUCCGGGUUGCGGACAGUGUCUGGUGGGUAGUUUGACUGGGGCGGUCUCCUCCUAAAGAGUAACGGAGGAGCACGAAGGUUGGCUAAUCCUGGUCGGACAUCAGGAGGUUAGUGCAAUGGCAUAAGCCAGCUUGACUGCGAGCGUGACGGCGCGAGCAGGUGCGAAAGCAGGUCAUAGUGAUCCGGUGGUUCUGAAUGGAAGGGCCAUCGCUCAACGGAUAAAAGGUACUCCGGGGAUAACAGGCUGAUACCGCCCAAGAGUUCAUAUCGACGGCGGUGUUUGGCACCUCGAUGUCGGCUCAUCACAUCCUGGGGCUGAAGUAGGUCCCAAGGGUAUGGCUGUUCGCCAUUUAAAGUGGUACGCGAGCUGGGUUUAGAACGUCGUGAGACAGUUCGGUCCCUAUCUGCCGUGGGCGCUGGAGAACUGAGGGGGGCUGCUCCUAGUACGAGAGGACCGGAGUGGACGCAUCACUGGUGUUCGGGUUGUCAUGCCAAUGGCACUGCCCGGUAGCUAAAUGCGGAAGAGAUAAGUGCUGAAAGCAUCUAAGCACGAAACUUGCCCCGAGAUGAGUUCUCCCUGACCCUUUAAGGGUCCUGAAGGAACGUUGAAGACGACGACGUUGAUAGGCCGGGUGUGUAAGCGCAGCGAUGCGUUGAGCUAACCGGUACUAAUGAACCGUGAGGCUUAACCUU
rnacentral:rRNA from 1 species